rnacentral:rRNA from 1 species
GACGAACGCUGGCGGCGUGCCUAACACAUGCAAGUCGAACGGAAAGGUCGUGCUUUUGUGGGGUGGUCGAGUGGCGAAGGGGGGAGUAACACGUGAGUAACCUGUCCCUGUCAGUGGGAUAACUUCAGGAAACUGGGGCUAAUACCGCAUAGGAUCUCUUGCUGCAUGGUGGGGGUUGGUAAGUUUCGGCGGUUGGGGAUGGACUCGCGGCUUAUGGGCUUGAUGGUGGGGUAGUGGCAUACCAAGGCUUGGAAGGGUAGCCGGCCUGGGAGGGGGACCGGCCCCAUUAGGCCUGCGAUACGGCCCAGACUCCUACCGGACGCAGCGGUGGAGAGUAUUACACAGUAGGCUGGAGGCAGAUGCGGUAACGCCGCGUGCGGGAUGACGGGCUUCGGGUAGGGAACCAAUGUCGCCUUUGCCGAGGCGUGAGUGACGGUAACGGGUAAAGAAGCACCGGCUAACUACGUG